rnacentral:rRNA from 1 species
GAAACGGUAGCUAAUACCGCAUAACGUCGCAAGACCAAAGAGGGGGACCUUCGGGCCUCUUGCCAUCGGAUGUGCCCAGAUGGGAUUAGCUAGUAGGUGGGGUAAAGGCUCACCUAGGCGACGAUCCCUAGCUGGUCUGAGAGGAUGACCAGCCACACUGGAACUGAGACACGGUCCAGACUCCUACGGGAGGCAGCAGUGGGGAAUAUUGCACAAUGGGCGCAAGCCUGAUGCAGCCAUGCCGCGUGUAUGAAGAAGGCCUUCGGGUUGUAAAGUACUUUCAGCGGGGAGGAAGGGAGUAAAGUUAAUACCUUUGCUCAUUGACGUUACCCGCAGAAGAAGCACCGGCUAACUCCGUGCCAGCAGCCGCGGUAAUACGGAGGGUGCAAGCGUUAAUCGGAAUUACUGGGCGUAAAGCGCACGCAGGCGGUUUGUUAAGUCAGAUGUGAAAUCCCCGGGCUCAACCUGGGAACUGCAUCUGAUACUGGCAAGCUUGAGUCUCGUAGAGGGGGGUAGAAUUCCAGGUGUAGCGGUGAAAUGCGUAGAGAUCUGGAGGAA